UUGUGUUUAAAAUUUAUUUUAUAAAGUCAAUUACAAAAAUACGUUUGGAAAAACUUCAAUUUUAAAAGUCGAUUUUGCAAAUUUUAAUUUGCAAAUAAAAAAAAUUUAAAUUUCUAUCACGCAGUCUAAGAAAUUUGUCAAAAUUGAGCCCCAAACGAUUGGAGUGUUAAAGUUCGCAUCAUUCGGUAUGAAAAUACUGCAUGAUAAGCGAAGUGGAUUUUUCGGAGCUGUUAUGAUUAUGUUAGUUGGGCUUAUUUUACAUUUAUCUGGAGUGGGACUCAAUUCAGAAGAAGCAAAGGAUUUACCGAGUUUUUCGUCAUCAGUUUUUCUACUUUGCAUUUUGUGCUUGCUGGUUAGAUUCCGCAUGACUUGGUGGAAUGGUUUCUCAAAUGCGAUGAAAGUAUUUAUUUUUUUAGUGGAACUUGUAGUUUGCAUUUUCAUUGCAUGCUUUCUUACCACAUUACUUUGGUGGUAUUAUUGCAAGGUCAUUUUAUUUAUAUGCACUUAUGUUGGAAAUGUACUACAGAAACGGUCUGCACUUGAUAAUUAUGCACCAACAAUAGCGCGUCUGUUGACGAAUUACGUAGCGCCGCUUGCUCAAUUAUUUACUAUAAUGAAAUUCCUUGGGUUCACUUUGAGAUAUUCAGGAACUAUUGCAUAUAUACGUGAAGAAGUUACAGCACCCACUCUGCCGGAUGACAGUGACGAUGUAAAUGCAAUUUAUUGACAAGCAAAAAACACCACACUAACAUCACAGGAGCACGUAAAAAUUCUCAAUAAUGUGUUAGCUGGAAGGAAGUGUGCUUGCAAAUAUCACAACUUAGCACGAAGCCGUAAUAAUGAAGUAUUGGAAUCAUGACCAAAACAGUAACACACUUAAAUCAGUUCUUUUUUUAUUUAAGUAACAGUAACAUCGACUACUAUUACUAAGUAAAUGUCUGGAGAUUCCAGCACAUAUCGUACCAAACCGUAUGUCAUGGUUCAGAGUAGCGCUCAUUGAAUUUUCAAGCAAACUUACUACAGGUUUCAAAAGUAACGGCAGAAGGAAGCUGUUAAAUCCUUUCGAGAGAAACGUGUCUAUCACAUAAGAAGCGGAAUUAAAUCAACGAUAACAUAUUUUGGUCCAUUAAGAAACUCAAAUUUAAAUGAAUAGAUAGACUCUCACCUAAUAUAUUCAAAACAACUAAUAGGCGAAGAUAUCUGAAAGAUAUUCUGCGGCAACAGUUAAGAGUAACUGGCACGUAGUCCGAUGUAAAAUAAGAACUUAACAUAGGGAUACUAAAGUCAUAAUGGAAGAUCUCCAAUCGGUUGGGUAUUACACAUUAUGAAAUUUUUUCUUUUUCUUCUAAAUUUUUUAUGUUCAUUAACAAAAUUUUUAAUGUAAAAGGAAUGUAAA